rnacentral:tRNA from 1 species
AGCCAAGUUAGUAUGAUUUAGUACAUCGAAUUUAGGUUUCGAAAGAAGAGUAGCUCUACCUGGUUG